rnacentral:rRNA from 1 species
CGGCCGUGCGGCGGCUAUACAUGCAAGUCGAGCGGACAGAAGGGAGCUUGCUCCCGGAUGUUAGCGGCGGACGGGUGAGUAACACGUGGGUAACCUGCCUGUAAGACUGGGAUAACUCCGGGAAACCGGAGCUAAUACCGGAUAGUUCCUUGAACCGCAUGGUUCAAGGAUGAAAGACGGUUUCGGCUGUCACUUACAGAUGGACCCGCGGCGCAUUAGCUAGUUGGUGGGGUAAUGGCUCACCAAGGCGACGAUGCGUAGCCGACCUGAGAGGGUGAUCGGCCACACUGGGACUGAGACACGGCCCAGACUCCUACGGGAGGCAGCAGUAGGGAAUCUUCCGCAAUGGACGAAAGUCUGACGGAGCAACGCCGCGUGAGUGAUGAAGGUUUUCGGAUCGUAAAGCUCUGUUGUUAGGGAAGAACAAGUGCGAGAGUAACUGCUCGCACCUUGACGGUACCUAACCAGAAAGCCACGGCUAACUACGUGCCAGCAGCCGCGGUAAUACGUAGGUGGCAAGCGUUGUCCGGAAUUAUUGGGCGUAAAGGGCUCGCAGGCGGUUUCUUAAGUCUGAUGUGAAAGCCCCCGGCUCAACCGGGGAGGGUCAUUGGAAACUGGGAAACUUGAGUGCAGAAGAGGAGAGUGGAAUUCCACGUGUAGCGGUGAAAUGCGUAGAGAUGUGGAGGAACACCAGUGGCGAAGGCGACUCUCUGGUCUGUAACUGACGCUGAGGAGCGAAAGCGUGGGGAGCGAACAGGAUUAGAUACCCUGGUAGUCCACGCCGUAAACGAUGAGUGCUAAGUGUUAGGGGGUUUCCGCCCCUUAGUGCUGCAGCUAACGCAUUAAGCACUCCGCCUGGGGAGUACGGUCGCAAGACUGAAACUCAAAGGAAUUGACGGGGGCCCGCACAAGCGGUGGAGCAUGUGGUUUAAUUCGAAGCAACGCGAGGAACCUUACCAGUCUUGACAUCCUCUGACAACCCUAGAGAUAGGGCUUUCCCUUCGGGGACAGAGUGACAGUGUGCAUGGGUUGUCGUCAGCUCGUGUCGUGAGAUGUU